UACGAAGGGGGCUAGCGUUGCUCGGAAUCACUGGGCGUAAAGCGCACGUAGGCGGCUUUCUAAGUCAGGGGUGAAAUCCUGGAGCUCAACUCCAGAACUGCCUUUGAUACUGGGAAGCUCGAGUCCGGAAGAGGUGAGUGGAACUCCGAGUGUAGAGGUGAAAUUCGUAGAUAUUCGGAAGAACACCAGUGGCGAAGGCGGCUCACUGGACCGGUAUUGACGCUGAGGUGCGAAAGCGUGGGGAGCAAACAGG
rnacentral:rRNA from 1 species